GGAAGGUGCAAGCGUUAAUCGGAAUCACUGGGCGUAAAGCGCGCGUAGGCGGUUAGAUAAGUCGGGUGUGAAAGCCCCGGGCUCAACCUGGGAACUGCAUUCGAUACUGUCUGACUAGAGUGUGAUAGAGGGAGGCGGAAUUCCGCAUGUAGCGGUGAAAUGCGUAGAGAUGCGGAGGAACACCAAUGGCGAAGGCAGCCUCCUGGAUCAACACUGACGCUGAGGUGCGAAAGCGUGGGGGGAGCAAACAGGAUUAGAUACCCUGGUAGUCCACGCUGUAAACGAUGUCAACUAGCCGUUGGGAGCAAUUUGGCUCUUGGUGGCGCAGCUAACGCGAUAAGUUGACCGCCUGGGGAGUACGGUCGCAAGAUUAA
rnacentral:rRNA from 1 species